rnacentral:miRNA from 1 species
AGACAGAAGAGAGAGAGCACAGAUAGGAUAAAUUUAUACUUACAUUUUGUACUUAUAGCCCAACUUGAGUGGGGUCCUGUCCACCCAUUCACGACACCUACAUCCGCCCCUGGUUAGGACUGCCGUAUGGCUGAUCUUCUAGAAGACAAACGGCCAUUAUAGUCAACUAUACACUCAUCUUUCCCUUGCUUAUCUCAGUCCUUUUACAGGCAGAACAAUG